rnacentral:rRNA from 1 species
GACGAACGCUGGCGGCGUGCUUAACACAUGCAAGUCGAACGGAAAGGCCCUGCUUUUGUGGGGUGCACGAGUGGCGAACGGGUGAGUAACACGUGAGUAACCUGCCCUUGACUUUGGGAUAACUUCAGGAAACUGGGGCUAAUACCGGAUAGGAGCUCCUGCUGCAUGGUGGGGGGUGGAAAGUUUCGGCGGUUGGGGAUGGACUCGCGGCUUAUCAGCUUGUUGGUGGGGUAGUGGCUUACCAAGGCUUUGACGGGUAGCCGGCCUGAGAGGGUGACCGGCCACAUUGGGACUGAGAUACGGCCCAGACUCCUACGGGAGGCAGCAGUGGGGAAUAUUGCACAAUGGGCGGAAGCCUGAUGCAGCAACGCCGCGUGCGGGAUGACGGCCUUCGGGUUGUAAACCGCUUUCGCCUGUGACGAAGCGUGAGUGACGGUAAUGGGUAAAGAAGCACCGGCUAACUACGUG